UACGAAGGGGGCUAGCGUUGCUCGGAAUCACUGGGCGUAAAGCGCACGUAGGCGGCUUACUAAGUCAGGGGUGAAAUCCUGGAACUCAACUCCAGAACUGCCUUUGAUACUGGUGAGCUUGAGUCCGGAAGAGGUGAGUGGAACUGCGAGUGUAGAGGUGAAAUUCGUAGAUAUUCGCAAGAACACCAGUGGCGAAGGCGGCUCACUGGUCCGGUACUGACGCUGAGGUGCGAAAGCGUGGGGAGCAAACAGG
rnacentral:rRNA from 1 species